GAAGCCAAAGCAAACCAUAAGGAGCCACAAGCACUACCCCAAUGUAGCAUCUCUGGAAGGAAGUUUCACAUGGUAUUGAACAGAUAAUACCACACUUGCAGCUCAAAAGGUCCAGCAAAAAAGCAGUCUUUGAGGAAAAAGCAAAAUACUUAAGGUAAGGUGCAAAA
rnacentral:lncRNA from 1 species